UCUCCCUUGGAAUUCUUCCAUGCACUCUCCUCUGAUUUUGGCAUCUCAAAACUGAUCUCUAUUAGGUUGGUACCGCCCCAUUGAUGUAUGGUUUAAAUAGGAGAAGAGAUAAGGUGUUAGGUUAGGAGAUAAGAGUCCAAACUUCCUUGGACUCUAGCCUUUUUUAUGCCACCCACCCUAUCAGAUUUUUGCACCCACC
rnacentral:lncRNA from 1 species